rnacentral:lncRNA from 13 species
AUGCCAGGCCACUCCUCAUACUCACCCUGCUGCCCUCCUGCCUCUCAGUCUCUUCCUAGACUGUUCCGGUACUCUGCAAACCUCCGUACCAGCGAUCAGAGCUGCGGCAGUGAGCUAGGGGCCACGGCCCACACGGAGUUUUCAGUGAAGCCGACAAAUGUCUAUCUAGCCAGCAAGGGGAGUCCAGAGGGGAAGAGGCAGGAACAGCGACCCCCAGCACUGGCCUCCAGCCCACUCCACCCCACCUCUCCUCACCAUCAGGCCAGCAGAGGGGCUACCCACCCCCGCCGCUGUCACCAAGGAGACUUUGUUCUGGAUCCCAAGGACAACUCUAGAAUCCCAUCUGGGGAGCCAGGAGAGCUGGGAGAGGGGGAAAACAGAGCUCCUUUGAGCCACUUGUUGGACACCACCUUAGGUCUCACGGCUUAUAAGGAAAGACUUGAACCCAGGGCUGUCCCCACCAAAGCCCACAGCCACUACAGCAGUGGAGGUCAUCAUCUCCAUUUUACAGAAUGGGAAAUUGAGGCUCAGAGAGGCCAAGAACACAGCCGGACCUCCAAAGCAAGAUUUCUGCAUGCAACACCCGUGGUUGAACAGAAGACAUGGGCUUCCAGCCGAGUGGUCGGACUUGACCCUGUCCCUCCGUGAUCAGUGCCUUCUGUGUUCCCCCGCCCUCAGGAUGAAGUGUAACCUCCUUCACCGGCACCCAAGCCUACCACAUCCUGGCCCUGCCAGCCUCACCCUUCUCGCCUGUCCUCCCGCAUUCUCUGCCUCCAGCAUACCAGCCCUUUCUCCAUGUCUGAAGUGCUCAGAGUUCCUUUUGAACUCGGGCUUUGGCUCAUGGCAUUCACCAGCAAUGGCUGCCCUUCCCGGCCCCUGCCACAUCCUACCUUCAGAGGUCACCGACUCUGGGAGUCUUCCCUGCUGACCCACCCAUCCCGGCACACAUAUCAGUCAGUCCCCUGAAUGCCUCGCAAGGUGUAGGUGCAUGGUUUGCUUAACAGCCAUCUUGCUUCAAGAGAGCUGGGGCAGGGGCUGUCUUGUCCUCAGCUGUAUCUGCUGUGCCCAGCACGGUCCUGGCACAAAGUAGGUGCUGGAUGAAGAUGUGCGGAGGGCCGGUGCAAUGGCUCUUGCCUGUAAUCCCAGCACUUUGGGAGGCUGAGGUGGGCAGAUUGCCUGAACUCAGGAGUUCGAGACCAGCCUGGGCAACAUGGUGAAACUCCAUCUCUACUAAAAUACAAAAAACAUGAGCCAGAUGUGGUGGUGUAUGUCUGUAAUCCCAGCUACUUGGGAGGCUGAGGCAGGAGAAUUGCUUGAACCUGGGACAUGGAGGUUGCAGUGAGCUGAGAUGGUGCCACUGCACUCCAGCCUGGGUGACAGAGAGUGAGACUCUUCCCAAAAAAAAAAACAAAAAAAACUGUGCUGAGACUCUGAGAUGCAUGAGGCUGUGGCUGGCAGGCACAGGGGAGCCCAAAGGACACUUGAGGGACAUAAGACCCAAUAUCAUCUUUGCAGAAGGCCUGGCGAGGGGUAGGGGCUUGCUCCAGGUCACACACCACCUAUCGGAGCCUUGGGACUGGAACUCACAGCCCCUGCUCUCCAACCUGGAACCUCCCUCCCAAAUGCAGCCUAGUGCAAGGAAAGGAGA